rnacentral:rRNA from 1 species
CUUGGGGGCUAUACUGGUAUUGUUCCACCUGUUCCCAUUCCGAACACAGAAGUGAAAUAUACCGAGGCCGAUGCUAGUGAGAAUUUCUCGCAAAAGUAGGUAGCCCCCGUGA